rnacentral:rRNA from 1 species
AUUGAACGCUGGCGGAAUGCUUUACACAUGCAAGUCGGGCGGCAGCGCGGGGGCAACCUUGGCGGCGAGCGGCGAACGGGUGAGUAACGCAUCGGAACGUACCCUGUCGUGGGGGAUAACUAUCCGAAAGGAUGGCUAAUACCGCAUACGACCUGAGGGUGAAAGCGGGGGAUCGCAAGACCUCGCGCGAUAGGAGCGGCCGAUGCCGGAUUAGCUAGUUGGUGAGGUAAAGGCUCACCAAGGCGACGAUCCGUAGCUGGUCUGAGAGGACGACCAGCCACACUGGGACUGAGACACGGCCCAGACUCCUACGGGAGGCAGCAGUGGGGAAUUUUGGACAAUGGGGGGCAACCCUGAUCCAGCCAUUCCGCGUGAGUGAGGAAGGCCU